rnacentral:lncRNA from 1 species
UCGAGGUGGCGUGGAUGGUAGAUCCUUGGCCCUCUCCGGUGGAGGCCAAGGUUCGAAGCCCCUGCGAAGCAGGGAGGCAAUCUUAGCUACAUGGUGACUUAAGCGUGACGUCGGGGUGGUAGUUUCCCCGCUAGCGUCACCAGGGGGUUUACGGCGCACUGUCUUAGCUACAUGGUGACUUAAGCGUGACGUCGGGGUGGUAGUUUCCCCGCUAGCGUCACCAGGGGGUUUACGGCGC